UACGUAGGGUGCAAGCGUUGCCCGGAUUUACUGGGCGUAAAGGGCGCGUAGGCGGCGCAACAAGUCACUUGUGAAAUCUCCGGGCUUAACUCGGAAAGGUCAAGUGAUACUGUUGUGCUAGAGUGCGGAAGGGGCAACUGGAAUUCUCGGUGUAGCGGUGAAAUGCGUAGAUAUCGAGAGGAACACCUGCGGCGAAGGCGGGUUGCUGGGCCGACACUGACGCUGAUGCGCGAAAGCCAGGGGAGCGAACGGG
rnacentral:rRNA from 1 species